rnacentral:lncRNA from 14 species
CUUUUCAAGACUUUUACCAGGAAUUGAUCAGACUUGGCUGUACUGGUUUCUACUUUACAUGAACUUUAAAACCCUGAGUGAUUUGGUUUUCUUUCUUCCCGUUAGAGGAAAGCAGUGGACGAAGAGACAAAUAGGAAGAAAUUGAAAUUGGAGAAAGAACAAAAAUCCCUGAACUCUUCACCUAAGAAAGACUCCAAGGAAUUGAAAGCAUCAAACUCCAGGGCUUCAACUGAAUCCCAGAAGAAAGGUUUUCUAUUUCCACCACUGCCACCAGUGUCUGCCAUACAACCUGCACCAAAGUCAACCAAGGUGGCCCAAAAGAGAUGCAAAAGCGAGAGUGAUGAGCUCUCUGCCAUUGAUUACACCAUCAAUAACAAGAGGGACUACAAGGAUCCUUUGAUUAACAAGUACCGCAAAGUGGAGAGUAGCCAACCUGAGCUGUCAAAGGCUAUCAAAGGAUCUGCCGGACACGUCACAAAACUUCUCCCAGUGCCUUCUUUGCCAAAUGGUGCCUCCCAGCCAAAGAGACCUCAACUCAAGUUUGAAAGGUAAAGGUUUUGUUUUUACACCCCUCUUCUGUACUUUGUAAAGCCACCAGGCCAGGCUGGCCCUGCAGCCAGCCUGGCUUCUGCUUUAGUAAGCACUUGUUUGGGGAGGAAAGAGAGAAGGAGAGGGCUCAGUGACUUGCCCUGUACUGUCUUCUCAUGGCUGGGACUUACCCCACCUACCGCAAAGCAAAA